AUAAAACAAAACAACCUUAGUGUCAUUUGAAUGACCUUAAGGUGGAUGACUGCCUUAGUAGUAGUAUUCAAAACCCGUAAGUAAAAUGCUGCCCUAAAAAUGGCAUAAACUGUUUGUUGACAUUCUUGCCGGAUGAACUUCAAAAUACUUCUGAACACUGAACAAAUCCAGGCUUGUGGAGAACACUCUGAAAUUCUGUGGCUUUAGAGGGAGCAAAGUUUGCCCGCCCAAGAACUCUGACCUUCAACAGGAAAGGACAGGUAGACUCCGUCAGUACGGGUGAACCGGCCGACAAUCACGUCAAAAUUCGGAGAAGACUUGGUGAUUCUAGAAAAUUCACAUCAUGAACAUUAGAAGUUAAAGUAGAUUAUGUGUCUUGCGUUUAUACAUAAAAGCUCAAGAACUUGGGUCUGUGUCAAAUGACGACAGACUGUAAACCCAGCGUGGGCAGGGAUUCUCUCUCUUUUUUGCUGAAUUGUACUUUCCGACAGCUUUAUACAGUGCUCUG